UUCUGGCUCAGGAUGAACGCUGGCGGCGUGCCUAAUACAUGCAAGUCGAACGAGUUCUCGUUGAUGAUCGGUGCUUGCACCGAGAUUCAACAUGGAACGAGUGGCGGACGGGUGAGUAACACGUGGGUAACCUGCCCUUAAGUGGGGGAUAACAUUUGGAAACAGAUGCUAAUACCGCAUAGAUCCAAGAACCGCAUGGUUCUUGGCUGAAAGAUGGCGUAAGCUAUCGCUUUUGGAUGGACCCGCGGCGUAUUAGCUAGUUGGUGAGGUAAUGGCUCACCAAGGCGAUGAUACGUAGCCGAACUGAGAGGUUGAUCGGCCACAUUGGGACUGAGACACGGCCCAAACUCCUACGGGAGGCAGCAGUAGGGAAUCUUCCACAAUGGACGCAAGUCUGAUGGAGCAACGCCGCGUGAGUGAAGAAGGCUUUCGGGUCGUAAAACUCUGUUGUUGGAGAAGAAUGGUCGGCAGAGUAACUGUUGUCGGCGUGACGGUAUCCAACCAGAAAGCCACGGCUAACUACGUGCCAGCAGCCGCGGUAAUACGUAGGUGGCAAGCGUUAUCCGGAUUUAUUGGGCGUAAAGCGAGCGCAGGCGGUUUUUUAAGUCUGAUGUGAAAGCCCUCGGCUUAACCGAGGAAGCGCAUCGGAAACUGGGAAACUUGAGUGCAGAAGAGGACAGUGGAACUCCAUGUGUAGCGGUGAAAUGCGUAGAUAUAUGGAAGAACACCAGUGGCGAAGGCGGCUGUCUGGUCUGUAACUGACGCUGAGGCUCGAAAGCAUGGGUAGCGAACAGGAUUAGAUACCCUGGUAGUCCAUGCCGUAAACGAUGAAUGCUAGGUGUUGGAGGGUUUCCGCCCUUCAGUGCCGCAGCUAACGCAUUAAGCAUUCCGCCUGGGGAGUACGACCGCAAGGUUGAAACUCAAAGGAAUUGACGGGGGCCCGCACAAGCGGUGGAGCAUGUGGUUUAAUUCGAAGCAACGCGAAGAACCUUACCAGGUCUUGACAUCUUUUGAUCACCUGAGAGAUCAGGUUUCCCCUUCGGGGGCAAAAUGACAGGUGGUGCAUGGUUGUCGUCAGCUCGUGUCGUGAGAUGUUGGGUUAAGUCCCGCAACGAGCGCAACCCUUAUGACUAGUUGCCAGCAUUUAGUUGGGCACUCUAGUAAGACUGCCGGUGACAAACCGGAGGAAGGUGGGGAUGACGUCAAAUCAUCAUGCCCCUUAUGACCUGGGCUACACACGUGCUACAAUGGAUGGUACAACGAGUUGCGAGACCGCGAGGUCAAGCUAAUCUCUUAAAGCCAUUCUCAGUUCGGACUGUAGGCUGCAACUCGCCUACACGAAGUCGGAAUCGCUAGUAAUCGCGGAUCAGCACGCCGCGGUGAAUACGUUCCCGGGCCUUGUACACACCGCCCGUCACACCAUGAGAGUUUGUAACACCCGAAGCCGGUGGCGUAACCCUUUUAGGGAGCGAGCCGUCUAAGGUGGGACAAAUGAUUAGGGUGAAGUCGUA
rnacentral:rRNA from 2 species